GUAAGGGAUAUUGCACAAUGGGCGAAAGCCUGAUGCAGCAACGCCGCGUGCGCGAGGAAGGCCUUCGGGUCGUAAAGCGCUUUUCUGGGAGAAGAGGAAGGACGGUACCCCAGGAAUAAGUGUCGGCUAACUACGUGCCAGCAGCCGCGGUAAAACGUAGGACGCGAGCGUUAUCCGGAGUUACUGGGCGUAAAGGGCGGGUAGGCGGCUGCUCAAGUUGGAUGUGAAAUCUCCUGGCUAAACUGGGAGGGUGCAUUCGAAACUGAGCAGCUAGAGGACAGCAGAGGGUCGUGGAAUUCCGGGUGGAGUGGUGAAAUGCGUAGAGAUCCGGAGGAACACCAGAGGCGAAAGCGGCGACCUGGGCUGUAACUGACGCUGAACCGCGAAAGCCAGGGGAGCGAACGGGAUUAGAAACCCGAGUAGUCC
rnacentral:rRNA from 1 species